GGAGACGUGGGUGAGUGGCUGAAACCAACGGUUUGCUAAACCGUCGUGCUGGUAAAUCCGGCACCGAGGGUUCGAAUCCCUCCGUCUCCGCCA
rnacentral:tRNA from 1 species